GGUUGGAAGGCACAAACAAUGGUUUCUGUGUUCCAAAUCAAGUUCUUGCAGGGCCUUGGCAUCGGAAAUAUUUUCUGCUACGGACGUGGCAUCAGUUGACCUCGCCACACAGAGUUAAGGAAAAACGACAGCUGUUAUGCAUUGGUUUCUCUUUGGGCUUCCCUUCAGGUGGUAGGACCAAGGUGCAAAUCUGUGUGUGUGGUGAGGGGGGAGUAAUUCUGCCCCUCCACCUCAACUGGACCGAUCCUAUUUGCCAGGCAUGGGUUGCCACCUGAAUGUCGCUGUUGUAUUGGAGUCAUGUCAAUCAAACUGCAUUGGACCGAGACCUCUUGGCUUGCUACUAGGCCCUAUUGAAAAUGGCGGAAGGGUAAGGAGGAGUCUUCAUAUCUCCAGCGAUAGUAAGGCCGCAAGCAGCACUAUGGGCAUGUAGGAAAAGGCCAUGAAUGAGGCUGCCAGAGUCUCGAUCGAGUUUUCUCAGCAGAAAGCAGGAGACAGGCAUUCCACUGACAUGAAUUCACUCUUGGGUCCUGUCCAGGUCUGAAAAGAGAACAGCUCUCGCUCUCUCUCUCUCUCUCUUUUUUUCCCCCAAGAAAGAAAAUCUGUUUUUCUCAGUAUAAUUGGUGGUCUGAGUAGUUGCUGGGCUUUUCAGAAAGAACCUUAGCCGUUUAUCUUCUUUCACAGGGCUUGCGGUGACUCUUCCUAUUACGCUCCUUGCUUUUUUAGAUGACAAAGCAGCUGUUGCAUUCAAAAAGUAAAAUAAAAUAGUUCAUAUGCAGGCAGGACCCUUGUUUGCAUGUUAAUUGCCUUCCCUCAAUAUGGCUAUUAUUUAUUUAUUUGUUAGUUGUCUCACAUUUGUAUUCCGACUUCCCAUCACAGAACACAAGGUGUCAUAAAAGUGGCUUCCAGGCUUUCUGGAUCCUGAGGUGGCAUCCAUCAGCCCUUGCUCCAUUGGGAUCUGAUUGAAUUGCAGCUGACCUGAAAUCUCCAGAUUUGACUGGCUCCCUCCAGGUGGCAUGGGGAGGGUUUGGAUCUCCAGGUGACUGAGAGGGCCUUAAAUUUUUUAAAAUUAAGAAGACUACUCAUGCAGCUUGCAGGCUUCAUCCUGGUAAGAGCCAGAUGCAAAUGAUUGCUGCUCUCCUCUGCUUCUCCCUCCCAAUUAACCUCCGUCUCUAAAUCUUUGCAAAGGCUGUGGGGCAGUUGUCCUCCCUCCUCCCUCUUUCCUGUUCCAAUUAAUCUCCAUCUCCAGGACUCAGUAGGUCAGGGGUCAGCAAACAUUUUCAGCAGGGGGGCCGGUACACUGUCCCUCAGACCUUGGAGGGGGCCGGACUAUAUUUUUUUUGGGGGGGGGGGAUGAAUGAAUUCCUAUGCCCCACAAAUAUCCCAGAGAUGCAUUUUAAAUAAAAGCACAUAUUCAUCUCAUGUGAAAACACCAGGCAGGCCCCCAAAAUAACCCAGAGAUGCAUUUUAAAUAAAAGGACACAUUCUACUCAUGUAAAAACAUGCUGAUUCCCAGACCGUCUGCGGGCUGGAUUUAGAAGGCAAUUGGGCCGGAUCCGGCCCCCGGGCCUUAGUUUGCCUACCCCUGCAGUAGGGGGACAGAGUGCAGAGGAAGAAUCACCAGGGCCUGCCCCCAUUGCAUCACCAGGGGCCACCCCUAGGACUCAGGUUUAGGCCCUGAGAUCUCAGGGUCUUGAACGCUCUUGACCUGGCAGCCCUAUUGCUAUAUCAAGAACACAUUCAUUCAAGCCAUAUAAGUUUAUUGUUCCAGCCAAAGGCCAUGACAAGCCCACAGCAACAGUACCAAUAAAACAAUACAGAUCCUUAAUACGAGCCAACAUCCUUGAUGUCAGAGGGAGGUUGCAGAGACACCGACAAACUCAAAUUCACCUUGAUUUCAUUUAAACCUCUGAAUCACCACAACAAUUUUUUUAGCGAUUUUAUCUAGGUCCUCACCCUGUGUUACGAAGCUACUACUGUCAUUCAAAAGAAACUGGACCAUUUCUGCCAGGGUGUACCUGCUUCCUUGUGUGAUCAAAGGUUUCAGAAAGGGAUCUCUUGGGUCUCUAUACAAGGGACAGGCUAACAGACAAUGAGUGAUGUCUUCCACCUGAGGUUGGCCGGAAAUACAAAAUCUGUCUGCGUACGGGGCCUUGUUGUAGUGGCCCAUCCAAGGCUGUGUUGGGCAUCACUUGGAAAUGCAGCUCAGUAAAGGCUUAAAACAGUGUUUUAAAAGCACCAGUCAUACCACCUUUUAAACCUCUUCUGACCCUGUAUACUUCUUGGAUCAAUAGCAGAAGUCUGCACUCAAUGUUGGCAAUUUGAAAUUUCUCCCACAAGUCUGGGCUUAUCGUGAGCGUUUGUUAAUGGAUAAUCUCUUUGAUUUCUGGGAAAUAGAUUGCUAGCAGGAUAGGAAUUUUGGGCCUCUAACCUGGGCAUAUUUAUUCCAACACCUGCAUUCGGGCCAAUCUUCCCUUCUUAUCUGUUGGAGCAUAUCCAGACAUUAUUAGGAUCUGUGACAAAGGCAUGAGUCUUACAGCUCGAGAACUUCCUGCUCCUUCCUCUCACCCGUUGCCUUUUCCAGACUGCAGUUCCUCUUCUCUAGUAAGGCUCAGGACCGCCUCUCCCCAUAUAAACUCAGCCAAACUCUGCAUUCACCAUCUAAGGCCCUUCUUUGUGUGCCUCCUCCAAGAGAUGUCCAGAGGGUGGCAACACGAGAACGGGGCCUUUUCUGCAGUGGCUCCCCAUUUGUGGAAUGCUCUCCCCUCGCUUCUAUAUCUUCAGGGGGAAAUGUUCCUCUUCGACCAUAUAUUUGUGGGAGGGGGCUAUUGUUUGCUAGUUUUCGUUUCAAUAACUUAUUUGUGUUUCUAUCUUGUAUUUUUAUCUUGGGAACCACACUGAGAUCUUUUGAGGGCAAGUACGUAAAUCUAAUAAAUAAAUAGUCGGUACAGGGAAUGGAUAUUUCUAAAUUGCCAUUGGGCAGGUGGGGGUUAUUUGGGAAACCUUUUAAUUCGAAUAACAGCUCCCUGUCAGCAAAUGUAAAAAUUGGAAAUCCAACAUUUAUCCCAUACAUAUGGAUCCUAAAAUGUUAGUUUAAUACUGCCUCUCUGGUCACAAUUAGACAGGUACCGGUAUUUACAAUGCAGACCAUUUCCUAAAUCCAGGGAAGCCCCUACAAUGGCUUGUAUUCCUCCGUUUAGUUCAGAUUCUCUUAUAAUUUUUCCUCUGGAUUUCUUCACUGGCUGGUUAUGUAGGGACCUCUUUCUAGAAGAAGCAUCAUUGAAAUUUGGACUUUCCCCCUCUGUGUUUAUUACACUGGUACCUCUGGUUGCAAACGGGAUCCAUUCCGGAGGCCCGUUCGCAACAUGAAAAGCCCGCAACCUGAAGCUCCAUAUCUGCACAGGUGUGCAGCGCGAUUUGGUGCUUGUGCGCAUGCGCGAAGCGCAAUUUAGCGCUGCUGUGCAUGCGCGAGCAGCGAAACCCGGAAGUAACCCUUUCUGGUACUUCCGGGUCGCCGCGGGACACAACCUGAAAAAACAUAAUAUGAAGCAAACGUAACAUGAGGUAUGACUGUAAUCCAUUGCUCACUGCCUUUUCCUCCCGUCCGCGGUGGGGCAGGGAAUGUGAAGUUUUCGACUUGCAGCCUGCAGAGCACAACACACUCACAAAAAACACUAGUCUGGAGGGGCUCUGAGUUGCUGCUGAGGUUUACUUGGGUGAAAGGGAGGAGGUUAGUGUCUCUUCCUAUGCUUGGAUGCUCUUCUGCCCCCCGCCCCCAGCCCAAGCAAGUCAGUAAAGAUCCCAGAAUUUCUUCACCUUAUGAGAGCUGAGUGGAUUCAGCACAAAUCUUGAGCGCUGACAUCUCUCUGCUGAACCAGCGGACUUUUGCUAAAGUCUCGUCGAAAUUGGAGACUGGGAAACAUACGGUUAGGUCACAGCGUCUCAAAAAAGGGUUAUCUGAGUACUUUGUCCUCUACAGUGGACCAACUGUGGCAAAACUUUGCGCAGAACAGCUGAGUUGCAAAUGUCAGUUCCCCUGUAAACAUCCGAAAAGGAGGACAAGUCAUUCAUCCUGAAAGAUGAAGUCUCAAUGAUGAAUCUGGAAGACUGUCAGAAACAGGAAUGGAGUCAUCGUCUGUUGUCACUGACUGCUUGCUGGGGCUGAAAGAAUUGCUUGGGCUGCCAGUUAGCUACAGGCAGGCCUAGGUUCAAGGUGCUAGUCCUGGUGUAAAGAGCUCUAUACAGCUUGGGACCAGGCUACCUUACAUCUUAUAGACCAGUUUAUCACUCAACUUAGGGCCUCCUGCAGAUACCAUCUUAUCAGGCAGUCCAUUCCACACAAUGUAGGAAACGGGCCUUUAGCGGGUUGGCACCUGUCCUUUGGAACUCCCUCCCACUGUAUAUCAGAUGGGCUCCAUCUCUGUUGUAUUUUCGGCACCCGCUGAAGACCUUCUAAGCCUUUAAAGCUGAGAUCUUUCCCAAUCCGCAUCUGUGCUGGAAUCAUUUUAGGACGUUUAACAUGUCCGCUAUUCUUUUAUCUCUUGUUGGAUGUCCUGUGUUCCUUUGGAAGGAAAAGGGCAGGAUAUUCAUUUAACAAAUAAAUACCGGGCAGGGCUGGGAGUUCAGAAGGCAAUGUCUUAAGACUGUGUGUUUGCAUAUGCAUGUGGGUGAUUUCUCAGCUGAGACCUGAAGGCGUUUUAACUUACCACAAUUUCUUGACACAGCUGGCUGGUCCAAUAACCAUCAGAUCAGUCAGACAUCUCCCAGAUCUGCCUUGCAUCAGUUGAAGAACUGAUUCCCCUUAACACUCUUGACUCACUUUUCCUUCCAUCAUGUCCAUGGCAUCAUCAUCAUCAUCAUCAUCAUCAAUGUCAGGCUGUUUCGCUGGAAAGUCUUUCUUGCCCAAGGAUCGCUAGGAAUUCUAGUUUGAAGUGGCGCUUAGGAGUCCAAGUUAGAAAACAGUCUUCACUCUCCCAAAACUACACAUCCCAGGGUCUUUUUUGGGGAGGGAAACAAUCAUAGUGGAUUUUAAUUUCCAGCUCAGAUAUGGCUUAAGUCAUAUCUGAGGCAAAACAGAGAGAGGUAAAUUUUAUCAGCUCUAGCUCUGCUGAAAGACUAGAUCCAUAGGGCAGUCUCUACCCUCAAACAGUUCCCAAUCCAGUUGAUCAUAAAAAAAUUAAGAUUUAGUUCCUGUGCUUGCCCCCCCUUUUUUCUGUCCCUUUUCCCUUUUAUGUUGUGUCUUUUCAAUAGCAAACCUGCAGGCUCUCCUUGUUUUAACUGACUGUUGGUCCAGAAGCCAUUCUUAGAGCCUUUUUGGCUGCAAGAUCAGGGUGCAAGCAUCCUAAAUGAUAAAUGUAGCAUAGUCCUAACCUGUUCCCAAGCUUAAAGGGCUACCAGUGGUUCUAGGGUGUUAAAAAUAUUGGCUUGUCCUUUUCGGUUUUCAGGAUUCAGCCAUUGCCAGGGGGCCAGGGGGCGUACAGAAUGGGGGCACACUGAGGAAUUGAUCUGUGGCCUUGCAUGUAUUUGAGAGUUUCUAGGGAGGGCUGUCACAUCAUCUUUCAAAGCUGGCUUGUUUGUUUCUGCUAUCAAGUCUCUCGGGUGCAAGCGAAUAGCGUUUCCUUGAAUUUGCGAUGAGCCAAAAGAACAUUUACUGUGUUACGGAGAAAUGGGGGGCGGAUGCAGUACACGAAAUCCAACCGAGCUCAAGGAACUGGGCUUUCGUUUCGCAGAACAGCGGAGAUAAAAACCACCGAGGAAUCUUAUCAGCCCCACGCACACCAAGAGUGGGGGGAAGUGGGGGCUGGCCUUUGGUUUGACGCCUGUGGGUAGCAGCCGAAAACGGCAUGCUGACGAGAGAGAGAGAGAGAGAGAGAGAGAGAGAGAGAGAGAGACGGAAAUUCAAAAAGCAACAGCCCAAAGUGUUGACAGCCCAUAAGUCAAAUUCUAAACACCAUAUCAGGGCUUU